UACAGAGGUCUCAAGCGUUGUUCGGAUUUAUUGGGCGUAAAGGGUGCGUAGGUGGCGAGGUAAGUCGGAUGUGAAAUCUCAGGGCUCAACCCUGAAACUGCAUUCGAUACUGCCUUGCUCGAGGACUGGAGAGGAGAUUGGAAUUCACGGUGUAGCAGUGAAAUGCGUAGAUAUCGUGAGGAAGACCAGUGGCGAAGGCGGAUCUCUGGACAGUUCCUGACACUGAGGCACGAAGGCCAGGGGAGCAAACGGG
rnacentral:rRNA from 1 species